CGGAACUGUCCGAGGUUCAAUGGGGUCUCUUCAGAUUUUAACCAGAGCCCGUUAAGCGGGGCCGGUCCCAAUAACUUUAGACACGUUUGCACAGUUGGACCUGUGGGAAGGAAGCGGAGCAGCACCGCGGAAGGCAGAUGUUUCCUGAACAGCGUUUUUAAAAGACGUGCCGCACUUCAAAACAAGAAGAAAUAAAGCCUUACUGUACAUACAAGAGCUUCCAAAAACAACGCCUCCCCUUGCCAAUAAUUGUUUAUAAAAACAGCGUUCCAGAUUAUUUGAAAAUCAAUAUUAAGUCCCAUGGAACAUGUCAGAGUAAAUCUGAUGUUAUUUCAACAGAACCUUAACACAGUCGGUGUUCAAGGGCUCCUUUUGCUUUCCCUCCAGCCUCCAAAAUGGGAAACAUCACAUAGCCCUCAGUGCUUGAUCAGAAGGGAACGGGAUAAAAAAGGUCAUCUAAAAGAGAAACCAAGUGCCCAUGUACUUGGACAGACAGAGACAGCUCCCAGCAGAACCAGCUACACCUCUGAAAUCUUAUCUGAGGUGCAGCAGUAUGAUUUUUAGUGCUUACAUGGACGAUAUUGCAAGCGUUAGAGCCUCCUCAUCCCCCUUCUGCUGGAAUGAGCUCAGUGAAAUAAGAGUGGUCCUUCCAUGUGCUGAUUUGAUUUGGAAUUUAAUUCCUGUAAUGGCAUCAAAUAAAAAAUAUUCAGCAGCAGGAGUUACACAUGCAAAUUAAGAAGAAAAACAUGGAAUUUUAUUAUCUACAGUAAAGGAGAGAGAUAAAUAUAAUCAAACUAUUGAUGGGUAAAGAUCAGAGGAAGAUUAUCUUUUGUAAGCACAGAAGACCUGCUGAUGUCCAGGGAAAAUCAGAGGUAGAGAACGCAGCCCUCUGCUCCCCACACUCACCCAGGAGCAGCCCCACAACUCCCCAUCUCUGCACACCAUGAUGUGUGCAGGGCCCCAAUGAGCCCGUUUGAUGUGUUUGUAAUUGUAACACACUGAGCUCCCCAAAGCAUGCUGUGAGCUGCGACUUGUAGUAACAAAUGACAGAAUCCUUAAAUACAGCCAAGCUGUGGUCAGUGUUUAUUUAUUUUUAUUAUGUAAACAGCCCAUGCUUUGGGUUAUUAGAGUUUAGCAUUAAAAGCACUUGAUCAUUUAAACUGACUUGAUGUUAUCAGACCUUUUUUUAAUCCUUGUUAAAAUACUAAGUAAUUGACAGUGCUUUUUGUUAUCCGGGUUAUAAAAUACAAAUCAUUAGGGCAAUAAAUAUUAUUCAUUUAGAACUGAUGCAAACCAAAUGUUUUCUUCCUUAAAAUACUCAUAAAAGUGAAGUUUUAUCUUCCAUCUGGCAAUGCCUCUUAUGCCAAAAUGUUCUGAGUGGAAUUGCAUUAAUAAGAAGACAUCAAGAGAAAUAUGUUACUUGUAUCCUUUAAUAUGCCUUUGUAAACUGAGAUACACGUUGGCCUUCUAUCAAUAAGCAUCUCUACCUGUGGGUUUUGAGAAGGAUUAAUAGAGAAGAACCAUUACAGGAUGAAAGGAUCGAGCAUGCUGGGAGAAAAAUGAAAAUCAAACAUCCACCAAUGCAAACACUUCCUUCCAGGAUAAUAUUUAGGUUUUAUUUUAUUUUCUUAAUUUAAAUAUAUAUAUAUAUAUAUAAAUAAAACGUUUAAGCUCAUUUUAGAUAGCGCACAUCUGCACUGCAAUAAGGCAGUUUUCAAAAGUGCAGCUCUCAGUGGGAUAUUUAUUUAAUUCGUAUUGGUUUUGGACCUCAGCCUAUAAUGAGAAAAGAUAUGGGCACAUGCUAGAGGUGGUGGCUGCGACUUGGACUUUUUUGAACAUUAAAGCAGAAAAAGCCUUUGCUUGUAGGGAGGGUUUAGUGAAAAUUCAAUAACUUUUGCUUCAGACCCUGUGCUUCAGAGCACCAAUAAAGACAAGAGAGAACCGACACAGACACUGAAUUCACAACAGAGCUCCUGGAAAAUGCCAACCAAUUCUGGCAGGAAUUUUCCAACAUUUCUCUCCUCAGAUACUUUUCACUUUUCUGAUCAACUCUGAUUUCAAAACCAAUUUCAACCCAGCUCACGUUAUUCACAUGCAACGUGUUCAGGCACAGUCUCUGCAGAUGCGUCCGGCUCCCCACCUCCAUUUCUCCAUUUCAUUGGUAAAUGACCUCCCCGAACUGAACUAAAAGUAGCCCAUUGCAUGCACAUUGCAGGUUUUGCACCAAAUUUGUCCAUUUUGAGAGAGUUUUAGCACAGAGAAGAAAGCAGAAGGCUUUUCCCAUGUGGCUGGGGGGCCAGUGGGCAAUGCUGGGGGCAGCGGAGGGUUGCUGCAUCAGUCCUGCGCUCAUGUGGGUCAAAACCAGAAGUGAAAUGGGGAAGCGUUCCCUGGCCACAGACUGUACAUCCUCUGGCACUGUUGUGAAUUUUGCUCCAUCCCAGGGCCAUUUUGCUCCAUCUUAGGGCCCAAUUCAAUGACUACAAUUGAUUUUUUGGUACUUCAGUGGCUUUGCAUGGAAACCAGAGGAAUCAUUUUUUAUUGAAUACAACCUUUAGAGCACUAGCUCACCAGUUUUCUUCAAUACACUCUAAUAAAGUAAUACCAACAUUUCCCAGCUCUCCAUAACUUCAUUAUUCUGUGCCUCUUUGGGACACUAGAAUCUCUUACCCUGACUCUUUCAUGGAUGGUGGAUUUCACAUCCAAUGCUAAUUUGAGGGCUUCAAAUGUGUGCGUGUGUACAAGCACACACGUGCACUUUUUUACAUAUGCUCAGCAUCAUCUGUCAGACCCUGUAGAUAAAAUAGCACCUCCAUGUGCCUGUCAGAAAAAUGCGUUUGACUUUCAGGCAUUGUUUUCAUUAAACCAGGAUCAGGACCUGGCCACAGACUCCAAAGUGUGAAUGGAAACAAUUUCCCUGUGCAGGAAUCUCAGCUGACGUGCAGCUGCUAAGAGCUGCGUUCCUCUCGGUUAUGUCUUCCCUGAAACCAUAAAUAGUCCCCAAAGCCAAUGCAAAGCUCACCCUGCAGCGCUGCGUGGUGCUGUGUCCUCCUUCCCAGGCUAACUUUGCAUGUCUCACCUGUGUGAUUUUUCUCCCACGUGGGGCAGAGCCUGGCCCUUAUAUACUUGUGCAGUCUUGACUAUGGUUUUACUUUGGGUUGUUGGCCUUGUACAUGCUCCUGCACUCCGAGCAUUCAGCAAUCAUGAAGAGCAAUGGCGAGAGCACACCCUACGUGUCACUCCAUGGUAUCCUUCAGUGUACUUUUCUCUCUUUAGGGAUUUUGCUUUUCCAACGUGCUCACCCCUUACUUCCCCUCCUGGCGCUAUUGAAAUAAACGGGAAUUUUUUGAAAAUCAAAGCUGGGUUAAUGACUAAGGGUUUUUUAAAGAUGGAGCAGUUGAAGCAGUGAUUAUUGGGGCAGGAGGAAAUCUCCUGCAGGUAUUAGUCUUACAGGACGGCAUGCCAAAGGUUACUAUGGUGCUUGCGAUGUGGAACGAUGAUGAAAUACUAUGGGAAAAGCAAGUCCCCCAGCUACAAUGUAUGCAUUUGGUGGUCAUGGCUAUGCACCAGUUGUGAUCAAUGGGUGUAAAGGCAGGGUCAGGGCUGCAGCAGCCGGAGAUGCUGGUGCUUUGCAAUCUAGCUGGGCCCCAACCAAGGGGCUGAGUUUCCACAAUUCAUUUAUCAUAAACCAGCAAUUUGCAAAUGUUAGCACUUUUCCCACACAUCAUGAGCCCUGAUGGACUUUAAUAAAAGAGAGAGAGAGAAAGAAAGGGAAGGAGAGAGAGAAUACCUACAUAAUUAGCUAAAGUUCUCAGAAUGGCUUUAAUUGGGAAAAUGUUACCUUUCUGGAAAUAAUUGCUAUAGAGAUUUUCAUUUGUUUUCUAGGUUCUGGUUUUUUUACGUUGGUUUCACAUCUGCUAAUUAACCAGUUGUCUCUGUUAAAGAGUUUUUGCACCUCUCUUUUACCCUCAAGACAGCACAUUUUCCAGUUUGCUUGAUUCUGGUAGUCACAAAAAUUAGAAUACUUGCAUUAAUUUGGUUUUCACACUGUUUUUAAGCUAAAGGCCUCUAAAGGGGAGGGAUAACAAAGAAAAAUAAAGGGUAAACAAAUCUUGAAAACAGAUGAGAGUGAGAGUUUAGGAAAAACAAAACAAAACAAAACAAAAAAAACUAUCUGGCAGAGAUGCUUGUGGGGUACAUGGGCAGACAUCACUCAUCUCAUUGAGACGCCUCUGAGCUCUGAGAAGUCCUGCUGUGGGGCUGGACUUCCUCCAGUCCGCAGAAAGGUAACCGUGGCUGAAAGAAUGAAGUCUAUGGAUGGAGGGAGGAACAAGAGUUGACACUUUUAGCUAAUACCGGUGAUAACAUCACUUUAACAUGAUUUUCUAGGGAUCUUUUUUCUCUAGAUGAGUAUCUUUCUUCCCAGAGUGGGCAAUAACAGAGACUUCAAUGACAGGGAUAAAAUAUUCAGAGCUGAAUAUCUGUGAUUAUCAGAUUUUCUCCCAGUGUUGUAGGAAGGAGUUGUUCCUGUCACAGAGAGCAGAAAUCAGAGGGUUUAGAUCUCUUUGAUUUGUUUAUUCCAUCUCAUGCAGUUUUGCUACCUUGUCUACCUGUCUGCAUUCCUACACUGUUGUUUAAUGCUAAUUAACAGAUCAGCAUGAACAUGUUCUGCAAUUCUCAGAGAUCCCUCCUCUGGUGCAUUUCUCUCUUCUUAGCCAAUCUCACAAUACUUUAGCAACUUUCCAUUCCACAUAUAACAUGUGUUCCAAAGAACAAAUCCAUUGCUGAUAAGAACAGCUAUCAUUUUCUAACUCGUAGGUGCAACAGCAGCAUCAUCUAUCAGAAACAAGAGGAGGGACUGGGGGUAAAAAAUGCCCUUAAAACAUCAGAUGCACCUAUUCAUCUAAUAAAUUUCUUCUUCUAAAAACCCCAAAGAACCACAUUGGCCUGGUGAUGAUAUCAUAGCCAAUCUCUGCCUUUACGGUUUAUGACAUCAUCAAAACCCCUCGAUGAUGUUAUAUGCUUGUGCAUCGAUGCUACCUAUCACUUUCUCCUUACAUUAUGCAUCAAACUGCUCAGAAGAGCCCACGUUUAACCAUCUAACCAUUUCACAGGUGACAGGUGGCAGAAAGCUGCAAGAAAAUGAACUGUGAGAUGUAUAAUUUUCCACUGCAUAUUGAGAUAAAAUGGAGCCUGAAAGAGAACCUGUCUUUAGACUAAUGACAAAGCAUCCAACACAGGGCAUCCAACUGUCCAGAUUUCCUCCAUCGUGUCCAGUGAUUUCUGCUCUGAAUCACCCUCUGGAAGAGCCCCCAUCAGCACACAAUUGCACCCCUGGAGACUUCACUGCCAGGUUAUGUAGCAGUCCCACAAAAUGGCAUCACCUUGCAGCAGACCUGCAGUAGUUAAGCACAAAAUGAAGCAGUGGAGCACUCUUGAUGGCUACAGCACACACCACAGCCCCUGCCAGAAAAUGAUGUGGUGUGAAGCCGACAACUGUCACCUUUUUAACCCACAGUUUGGUUCUAGUGUUCUAUACUCAGAAAAUGUCUGUUCAAGGCCCAGAAUAUUGAGUGGCUUGCUGAUGCAUUCCUUCCCACAUAUACAAACCUGGGCUUUGUUUGUUUUAUUGCUUGCUCUCAUUUCCAAGCCUGCAGCAUACGUGCUUCCCUGCAGUGGGAAGGGCUUAGAGGAAGUCCAUCCUGCAAAAAACACACUCCCUAAGUUGUUGCUUGAUUCUAGGAUCCACAGUUAGAAAACAAACCAAAACAUGGAGGCAGCAGAUGAAACCUCAACUACUGGUAAUGCUGAUGCUUCCUAUGGAAUUCUCCAAGCUGCAAGUGUCUCGUAGCCAAAUCCCUCUGACAAAUCGGUGCCUGUGUGGGUAAUAUCAGCACUGUGCUCAAGCAUCUUCCCUACCUUCUUUCCAGCUCAGGCAAUGGCCUGAGGUGGUGCUGGCUGUGAAAUGAGCCCCCAUCACAUAGUAGCUGAGCAAUGCAUAUCUCCUAGCGCAUUUUGUUCCCUUUAACGCAUUUCUUCUUUUUCUUUUCAUGACCUGCUGCCAAAAUCUCUUUGCUAAGGUUUCUGCCACCAUCGGCACCACACAAGAAAAGUGUCUUUGUUAACACAUUUAGGACCUGCUUUUAAUUUCUACAGUAUUCCCUUUAAUAACAAUGUCUAAUUAAAACAUCUGUUAAAAAGUCUGUAACAUUAACUUUACAGGGAGAAUUUAAUAGAAUUAUAUUUGAAUUGCAGCCAUUUAACGGUUUUCCUAAUUAGGCUGUUGAGUUUUUAUUUUUUUAACAAAAACAUUACACAAAUUAAAAUCAGGCCCAGUUUUUUUUUAUUAUUAUUAUUACAACAUAGACUGUGGUCAAAAAAAGGCCGGCAGUAUGUGAUGGUGUGUAAAGGGUGGAAAAAAAAACACACUAGCAGCCUGUGACUGAAACGCUAAAAUGCACAAAAUUAAACAAAUAAGAGAAGAUAUUUGAAAGGGGGAGGAGAAGAAGAGAGAAAAGAAAUUUCUCUGGCCUGUUAUUUGCAUGCUUUCCUUGAACACAAAUCCUUCCAAGUAUCUCCCCGUUGCUCUGUCUCCAGCCCCUGCCACCAUUCACUUCUCCUGGCUCUCACCUGUUUGGACCUUGUCUGAAUCUGGGAGCAAAAGACAUUGUAAAGAAGCCUCAGCAACCUGGGGAAAAAAAUAAAAAAUAAAAAAGGAUUUAUGCUAGAUUUGUGUUUGUCCACAUCCCAGAAGCUUGAGUCAAGACCUUUCCUGUCUGCAUUUCACAAUAUUGAGUGUGUUGGAAGACACUUUUGAGGCUCGCUUCUCCGGAGAGCUUUCCCAAGGUAUUCCCUGCUCUCAGGGCUGCAGACAGGUAACACAUAGCUCCAUGAUGCUUUAAGUUUCUUCCUUCACCAUGGGAAAAAACUAUCACUUGCCUAGCACAGUGGGAGCCAGACCCUCACAGAGUUAUGCAUGAUUGUGCCAGUCCAUAAAGAUGCCAGGUAUGCAGAGAUGUUGCAUGAACAUUAACUAUGCCAUUUCUUUGCAGAAAAGAAAUCUUUCUUUCCUCUGCAAAUGGUGCUUUUUGUGCUCUAAGAUGUUGUGUCUGUUUGCCUAUAAGAGCUCUAGCAGUCAUAUUUGGCAUAUGUACAGAAAUACAUAACCUUCAAAAGAUUCUAUGAUUCUAUGAUCUUCACUAGAAGCUGCAUUGUUAAACUUUUGAAGGCAAAGAUUUGCAGACAUUUUUAAAUAGGAGGAACUCUGGUUCAAGAUUUUAGUUGGAGAGGAGCUAGAACUUUAAAUUUGUGGGAAAACCUCUGCUGUUCCUUUUUUUCACUGUUCUAAGCCAAAACAAAAAGGAAAAAAUUAUACAUAUCCCAGGAAGAGCAUUUACAGUAAUUACUUUUAUAUCACACAUUAUAGCUCAUAAUUUACUCACACUUGUAUGAGGUAUUUCUCAACUGAGACUAUGCAUUUUACAGAGAAGUCUGGUGAUUUUUCACUGAUCCAGUGUCAUUUUUGUGCUGAGAAUGAGCUGCAAGAUAACACUACAGUUUCGCUCUUCAGCAUAAAUAUUUCAUGUAGCUCUCAGCAGAUGCUAAAGUUAGUGCCUGUACAAACAACUCAGAUGAAAUCCUGGCCUCCAAGUUGUCAGUGACAAAACUCUUAUUGACUUCAGUAAAGCCAAGACUUCAUCUUUGGUCUUUAAAUUGAACUUAAAUUUGUAGCGACCACUGGCAAGGGGAAACCCACUUCAAAGGAACGCUCUGACAGUUGGACAUUUCUCUCCCACUGAUCUAAACUGUAGUAAUCUCAUUUUGUUUCCCAAGCUAGCUUGGAAAUCACGUUGAGAGAAGUUCAUCAAAAUAGUUCUUUUGUUCUACUGUUUUCUAGCAAAUCCAAUGAAGCAACUUCCCUCAAGGAAUUUUCUGUACCACAAAGGCCAACCUCAAAAACAAAGAGCAAGUCUAGUAGGAAAAAAAUAACAACAAAACAUUCAUGCAUAGAGAUUAAGAAAUACAUUAGCAUCCUUCAGAGUCCCAGGGCAUUGGUGAGUCUUUGAUCUCUUCUUAGCUCUGCCAUACUGCGUUGCAUUUGUGGCUUUUGGACUCACAACACAAAUCAUAGUCUCUUUAGGGCUCAUGGCCUGUGGAGACCACGUGGAAGGCAAAUAUCUGGACAAUCCUGGACCAAACAUCUAUUUUUCUGUAGCUAUGAGGGGCUUAUCUUCAUUACCAAAUAAUCUAUUUCAGGCCUGUGUUUCUUCCUUCCACCAUUCUGCACACUGUUUCUUGAUAAAACACUGAACUGAAUCCAAUUGCAAAUUCCAAAGCCAGAGUUCAAGCGAUGGACUCUGUUUUCUACAAUAACAUUAAAAAUCCAACCAGCUCCUACUGUGACUUAUGAAGUUCCUUGAAGGGAAUCCUCCAAAACUGCCUUUCUGCACAAGGAGGAUCAAAAGGUGCUAGAUGAUUCCGCCUGGUCAAUGUUUGUGGUCGCCAGAACUCUACAAAUGCCCUGUCCAAAAAUGAGCUCGAAGGAGCUCUGCAGGGGAGCUGUACACAGGUAGAAGCAUGUACACCGGAGAAGCAUGGUCAACAUGCUUUCUGUGUACUUAAAACCUCAAGGAAUAAAGUUGUUUAGGAACAAAUCCUUGAGAAUCUGCUCGGUUAUUGGUGAGGAGAGGACAUUUUGGUAGUUUCAAAUGGCAUUACACAUUUGUGGAAUAGAAAUUACAGUUCAAUGUGUGGGCAUACUUGAUUGGACAAUCUCUCAGUUGAUGGGUUCUUCUGUUCAAUUACUAUUAAAAUUCAUCAAAUGGAACAGAGUGGUUUUAAUGCCUGUAAUUGUUGUAGAAAAUGCUCUGUAAUUGGUCUUACAAAUGAAGCUGAAGAGCAAGAUCAAACUCCAUUGAAAAUGAAUCUGUCUUUCCACUGAAGAGUUCAAGAGUCACUUUUAAAAUCCAUUUUGCAGGAAGGUGUUUAGCCAGUCUCAACUCCUGUUCAUUUUGUGUGGCAGUUUUUAUUUGCUUCUUUUGGCCUCUGAUACGUAAAUGAAAUCACCAGCUCCUGAACUUGGCUCCAUGUUCUCCCCUGCCUUGUAAAUUCAAAGGAAGGGCAGUGUUACAGGCAAUGAACAGCAGACCAACUCCAAAGGCAACUCAGGUGCAUUUGGGAAGUCUGGCACUGGGAUGAAGUGAAGAGACUGCAGGUUAGAGCCGUGCUGCCUCUGGUGGAGGAGCCAGAUCCUGAAGUUUUGCCCCUUCGGCAAAUCUUGCAAACCUCUGCCUCUUGCUUUUUAUGGGUGGAGGGGAGUUAUAUUUAGCCUUGUCAGAUGAAAUGAGAGGCAAUCUAAGAGCAGGGAACAAGCAGACAGUGAGAAUUUAAGAUACUUUUGCCACAAAAAGCACUGUCACCUGGAACUCUACUGUUAGCGAAGAAAGUGGGAAAGCAAGCAGGAUACUUAGUCAAUUUUCAGAGCAUCAGUCUAAUUGCAUGUUCCACAGAGUUCAGUGAACACUUGAAUCAAAAGUAUCCUACAUUUUCACUUAAAUAUUUUCCUGCACAUCAAAUGCCUCCCUCAAAUACGGAAAACAUGGAUGCAAGUCUGCUAGACUGCCAUUCAGUUCCUUGGUAUCCCCAACCACUGGACCCACCAUCUCAGGAACCAGUAUUUACUUCUCCAUUUCUUUCUCUCACCUCUUAAAGACUCCAUACAACAACUUCUGUUCAGCAACUUUCUAUAACUGCCUUCUCUCUGCCCCUAGCUCUCACCCCAGCUUAAAACUUCCUGCUUGUCACCAUCCAUUCUGGAAAACACAGCUUAUUGUUCAUACCGCUUCUGUCAGGUCUUUUCUGCUUUGUCUACUUUGAAAGAAUUAAAAAGGGAGCUCAGAGGGGAUAAUUCUCUUUGUACAGUGAGUCGAGAGCUUUCCAUGGCACCUCCUCUCAUGAAAUGAAGUGAUGGCUGCGGAAGAAGAGGAAAACAGAUCUUAAACUGAAAACAGCUAUGUUACCACCCCCAAAGCAGUUUAAAAUCCCUCUCCAUGUUCCUGAUUUGUUACCAGAGCAUGCUAUUCAUGCACAUGCAGGCUGUCAUCAUUAGUCUGCACAUGUGAAAGAAGUUCUGUGCAGCAGUUCCUGAGGAAAAAAAGAGAAACUGUGCAAAAGCACCACAAUUAAGUAUAAACCCAGGCAUGCCUACAAGCAGGUAGCUGCAGGAAAGUGACUGGUUCUAAUUAAACUCCAAACAUAAAUAGAAAGACCAGAAUUUCAAAUAGCACCUAACAAAAUUAAGAAAAGGUCACAGACAUGGUAGUAUUUUUUAAAACCUACCAGCUCUGUUUAUGAAAACAGAUUACUUGUGAUUGUGAUUACUUGGUACACAUUCAGCACUAACUGGCUCACAGUUUUGUUGUGUAUUUAUGUACUUUGUAAAGUGUCUGUGAAGCAUCAGGAAAGGCCCUAAGUCUGCCCACAGAGCCACAGGUGGCCAAGUCUGUUCCACCACAAACUUCUGCAGGGGAUGAGCAACGUGAGAGGCAGCAGAGGGUGCUGGGUUUGUUAGGCCCAGAGCAGGGGAGGCUGAGGGGAGGCCUCAUGGCGGCCUGCAGCUCUAUCAUGGAGGCCUGCAGCUCCACCAUGGUGACCUGCAGCUCCUCACAGAGAGCAGAAGGGCAAAAGGGCUCUGAGCUCUGCUCUCUGGGGACAGCAAGAGGGCCUGAGGGAACAGCAUGGAGCUGUAUCCAGAAGGCUCAGGGGGGUUAGGGAAAGGUUCUGCCCCAGAGGGCAGUUGGUUUGGAACAGGCCGCCCAGCAGGUGUGUCAGCAGGUGUGAUGAGAAGCACCUGUGUGUCAUUAGGGUCACACAACCCUGCUCCUUCAGCCCUUCUGUGGGGGAGAUUUCUGUUUGCUUCCUAGCCAAAGGUUUGUUCUGUGCUCAGGAGGCAUUCAUGGCCCUUCUUGGGUUAUUUCUUUUCACCAGAAAUCAAAAGAAUUUUCUUCAAUUUCAGCUGAAAGCAAUUCCAUAUUUAGGUGGGAAAGGGCACUUGUCUGUGGUAAAGGUGCCUUGCUAUGAAAGAUGUGAUUUAACUAAAGUUUAAUUAUGUGUUGAAGCAGCCAUUCUGAUUGCAAUGUUUAGGCUGUAUUAGUAAUUUUUUCUAGUUUGUGACAAUUAUGCCUCUUUGUAGCCACAAGUAGUUUCAAAUUCUUUUUACUCAUUCAUUAAAAAUAAACCUGAAUUUCUUCAGCAAUUAGUAGUUACUAAGGAAAAAAUAUGUAUAUAUCAAUGUUGAUAGUCACCUGUGAAUCAGCACCCAGAGAGCUGUUUGGAGCAGGCAGCAUUGCUGCUGUUUGCUGUUCUGCCUGUAGCUAAGCAGCAAGCUGAGAAUUGUUUUAGCUGAGCUCUGAAGGAUAUUGCAGCUUGCCUCGUGCAGGCUGGUAGGUGGAAUGCUGGUAUUACAAAUGUGAAGAUGAAUAGAUAUCUUUGGAUCAAAAUGCGGCUUCAAAGUCAAACAAAAAUUACAGACCCGUUUGAGUCUAUUGUAAUGACAAUAACAACAGAAGGAGGAAGAUAAAGGUCUUGAGCAGGGAGUUUUGGGGGAAGCAGGAGAUUGCUAGAAACAGUUUCUGAGAUCGAUUGAUUUGAAUAAUACUCUUGGGCACAGAGAACAUAGAGAGGUAAUGCCUGAAAAGAAUAAAUCAAAUAUCUCAUGGCAUUUUAUGCAUUCAUUCCUCUCCUGGACUCUGUUUUUAGUUUUCAAAAAUAUGAACGAUUCCAGGCAAGCAGAGAAUGGCCUGUAUAUUUCCCACCGUGAUGAAUAGUUGCAUGUUAGCCUGUUCAUUUAAUGACAGCUAUGUAUAGUUCCCAUAAUAAAUCAGACUCCAGGACACAAAUGCCUUCUGUUUACCUUUGAAGCACUUUUUUUUUUCUUUCCCUGAGAAUUGUGAUUGUUGCAAAAGCCUGAUGUAUCCACCCACACAGCAGCACCCAAACAGCUUGUUACUUGCAGGUUUCAGUCCUGCAAGGUCCUUAGUCCUCCCAGUGCCGCAUGAUGCCCCAAGGCACCCGUGUCUUGCAGGACCUAAGCCUGCACAGGCUGCAGAAAAUGGACUCAGCCCACUGUGAGCAGUUAAGGGGAAAGUUCAGUCUGCACUUUGCAUGAAAAGUCUUGUUUUAAUCUGACUCUCGGUCAAUUAGUUUGAUCAUUACAUUAUAAACACUUGUCAUCUUUUGUAACAUGUGCCUUUGAAAAGCAAUGCUUGAACUUCUCAGCCCCUGAAAUCGCAUAUUUUUAACCAGAAGUUACACUAUGACUUCUCUGUACAAUAAUUAACCGAUAUGUUUCUUGACAUACAUAUACUGAAAUUCUCUUUGAUUUUAAAAAUCAGCAAUAUUGAAAGAUGCACACUUUAAGUCACUCUAUGCCAUCUUAAGUUACUGUGACUUCUAGAUAGCUUGUAUAACACUAAUCAUCAUCUAAUAAGAACACCUGACUCAUACCUGCCGGAUGAGAAGCGGGUGAGAUGCAUUCUUGCACUGCUCCAGCCCCAAAACAUUAUGCUCAAGAGAAAAGAGGGCAAUUUCUAUCUGUUUUUAUUUAUUUUGGGAAAACUUUCCAUGCAAAUAAAUGUAGCACAAAGUAUUGAGAACUGCCAAAAGACAUACAGAUUAUGUAUAUUUUUAUAGCCACAAAGUCACUCAAAUGACUUUGCUUCCAUUUCAUUGUUUGGCAUAGAUCACUUAUUGUGCAUAUGUUUUCAGAUGGAAAUGCUGAAUUAGACUAUGGCAAAAUGGAUAAUGCAGCCCUAAUGCUAGCAUGAGCUAAUAAGAAACCAGCAAUGAAUCUACUGCUGCAGAUUGAAGUACAUGCAUUUCAUAUUAUUACUCAAGGCUUGUCUCUCCGAUUAGAUGAUUGCAUAACCUUAAUAUUAUAAAUCUUGCAUGAUGUGAAUUGUUCAGCUGUAACCAUAAUCAGUUUUUACUAAGGUGGCAUUUCUGUCAUCUUGUUAAACACAAACGUUAUAUAUGCGCUAGUCAUAAUUUUAUAACAGUUGCUUUUAGCAAGAGACGGUUUUGUCGGUCGGGAGCCGCAGUUUAGUGCAGAGAUGCAAUGAAAGUGCUUAAGUUGCUCAUAAUGUCAGUGUUUGCUUCAGAAAAUAUCACUUUGUAGAUUCUUUCAUUUUCUGAGUGCAAAUUUCUCUUCAAAAGAAAUGGAAAAACUUGCAAGCUCUUAGCCAGAACUCUCUGAAAACCACUUUUCAGAUCUACUGAGACCCAGGUUUAUUUAAUCAAGUGGAAGCUGCAUGCUCUGCAGAAGCUGCGGCACCCUGUGGACCUUCUCCAGCGCUGCGACUCAGCUUGGAGAGCCCCAGUUAUUUCAACCCCUUUUUCCACAGAGGAAACACAGUCGAUCUCCUCGUCUGUAAAUUACCGCUGGCAGGGCUUUAUGGGGAUGCCACUGCCACCAACAUUUAAGGGUUUAAGACCCCCCUAUAAACCUCAGCAAGGUUCUCCUCUCCUAUCAAUUCACCAGGGAUUUGUGCAGUUAAAUCUCACAGCGGGUAAUAAAUUUCCUGGCACAUCAUGGGAUGAAGGGGACCCGACUGGCACUGAUCUCGGUGGGUUGAGUCCAGCUUAUCUCCUUGACAAAUUUAUUGCCUUCAUCACGUGCUCUGGAGAGAAAAAGCCAAAUCCCUGCCUUGUAAUGGACACUUUCCUAUUUUUUACUGUAGAUCUUGCAUUGAGAUAGGCCUUAACAAAGAAGAACAUGCUGAAGAGAUAAGAACAAUUCAGGCAGUUCCAUGUGCUGUAAUGUGCAGAAAGCCCAGAGACUGCAUAACCAGGGCCGUGGGAUUACAAAAGAAGAGUUACAAGCUCUCCUCAGCUCCCUGGCUUAUAAUAAAUCUAAUCAAGGGAGAUUUCUUGUUGGUCUUAAUGGCAGUGAAAACAGUCCUAUACUCAGUAAUUUCAUACUCAAAUCACAUCUUAGGUCUAAGCUAGUAGAAAAUCUAAGGCCAAAUAACUUUUAUCAGAUGAUCUGUUGACAUGAUUUUCUUAUAGGAGUUAUAAAACAAUCAGUGCAGUGGCCUGUUUGGAACAAAAGAGUUGUUUCUGUUUUGAGCAUGUUUAGUAUCACUGGCACACUUGUCGGUGUAGAAAUCAGUGUCUUCAGAGACAACUACCAGGCGUGAGGCAAAGGUAAGGGGGGGAACACCAGAACUAGAAGAUUUGACCGCACAGUGCCCCUGCACAUAAGAAUUGAGAGAGAUAAAAUUACCCUGGGACUCCCUGGCUGCUCACAGCCCAACCAAGGUUGUGCCAAUAAAGGUUCAUAUAUCCACCAGCCAUUCCAAAGUCACUUGUGCAAAUCAGAGGUUUUUCUGGCAGCUGCUUGCUCUCAGCCUGUAGCUCCUGCUACAGUAAGAACUGCAGAGCCUUGUUGGACAGUUAUUAUCUGUAUGGUCCAGAGAACGACCUGCAGAAGCCUCCAGCUCCCAAAGCUUCUAAACACUGGGCAAGUCCAAGCUCACACCCUAAAUUCCAUACUCAGGUCUUACUGGAGCUUUAUUUCACAAGCCCAUGAGGGGGAGGGAGGGGUGGCUUGUGUGGCCACUGGUCCUGCAGUAAACCCCAGCCAGCAAUUUCUCUGCAAAGUUUGCUGUGCUGAAACCCUGACUGACACUGGGGUGGAUUUCUAACAUGGCUGAGAGGAAAAGAUAGUUUUUAAUAUCAGUUUAAAAAAAAAAAAAAAAAGAAUGUAUGGCUCCUAUAAACUGUUAAAACUUCACUUUAUUGAUCAUAAAUCUGUGUUUUGCUCAAUGCAAAAGUUUUUCAUCUUACACAGAAAAAUGCUGAAACAGCUACAAAUGCCAAAAACACAAAGUUUUCUCUCUUGGACAAUUUAUAGGGAAGUUAUUGGAUUUUUUGUUGUUGUUGUUUAAAAGCAUUCUUACCACACUGCUUGCCCACUGGUUUGGAGAAAUUGCCUUUCAUUGCCAAGCUUUGUCCCUGACCUUCUCUGAUAGGAAGAGACCUGAAAAAUAAAGCUAGCCUCUUUUACAUACUGCUGGAGUUGAAAGGGUUGAAUAGGAUGAGAAGUACAAGCAAUGGGAAUGAGGGUUCAGUACAAUCAGGGAAGGACAUAUGCUAUUGCAAACGUACUGCUGAACAGGCAGCAAAACUGCUGUAGAGCACAGAGCUCACUGCAGACAGAAAACCCUGUGCCCAGCUUUAUCCCAUGGUCCACUCCCCAAACCACUUCAAAACACGAUGCUAUCAGUGCAGGACCACCAGGCACCCCAUGGGGAACUGUUCUGGGAGUGAACGUGGCCCUGGGGUACAUCCCCAUGCUCAGUGGCUCUGGGCACAGGCCCAUCUGUAUCCCAGUCCCUCCAUCUACAAGUGGGGUAAUGCACCUUGGGACCGAGAGAUUAACAGCCCUGUUUUGGUAUUAAUGAUCUGCAAGGACUGGGAAGGUGCCAAGCAGGGGAAAGAAAUCUUGAUUUAUGAAUAGUAAAACACAAAACUGGAAGGAAAAAAUAGAGCAUUCUAGACCAACCGAGGGUGGUAUUGAGACAGGGGAGCUUUACCCUCUGAAACAUGUAUUUAACAUGGGUAAUCUUUACAGAAUUGUAGAAUAUCCCGAGUUGAAAGGGACCCACAAGGAUCACCAAGCCCAACACUCAGCUCCAGAUAGGAACACCCAAACCCACACCCUACAUCUAAGAGUGGUAUCCCAACGCUCCCUGAGCUCCGGCAGCUCGGGGGAGGAGCAAUAGGAUAAAGUUUUCUGUUUUUCUUUUUUUUUUCUUUUGCAUCCAAUUAUUGCAAAUCAUAUGAAUUAUGCUUUUUUCAGUUGUAACCUGGAAGCCCCCUUUCUUCUGCUUGUUCUCCAUCAUGUUGUACAUCAGCUCUCUGUGCUUCCCUACAGUGGUCAGCACCUCCGUCGAGAUAAUGGACUGGAUCAUCACCUGGACAGCAUUUCUCUUCAGUCAUAAAUCAUGAUGGGAAUACUGUAAACAAAAGCCAUGAAAUAUGAACCCACAUAAAUAAAGGAAGGGAAGGACUGCAUUGCCUGGGGAAAUCUGUGCAAAGAAGUUGGGGGGGGAGCAGGGGGGAGACUUGCACUGUCAGAGGAACCUCAACAAAUGCAUAUCCUGAUUUUAAAGUUUAACUGUUACUAUAAUUAUUAAGAUUGGCCUGCUCAUGUGUCUCACAGGAAGCGGCUUUGUUCUCCUUUCUGCUAAUUUCACGUGUUUUCUGUUCCUCUUGGGCUUUACUUUUAUUUCUGUGCUUUUCCCACUUCUAGUAUUUCUGUCUACAAAUACCUUUGUUAUUUCAUCAUCCUUCCCAGCACACAUGGUCACCAACUCUUGGACAGUUUCUUCUUCCUUUGCUUCUGUUCUGCUAAAUUCACAUACUUCUCGCAAAAGAUAUGGGUCACGCAAGUCUUGAGCUUUAGCUGUCAUUCUUGUUCCAAAACUGGGAUACAAGCACAUCAGCAUGCUUCAUUAAACCCAAAAUGUCAAAUCAUCCUUCACAACCACCAAGCCCUCACGAAUAUGAGCAGCUCUGUGGUUUUGGAGAAUUUUGUGAUAAAGGACACAGCAUUUAGCAGAUGGUACUAUUAGGAGGAAAAGUAAAAAAAAAAAGGAGGAGGGAAGAAGAAUGUUAAAAAAUGUGAAAAAAUGAAUAGCCUUGAAGUCCUAGGUGCUGUAGGGAUUCCUUGAUGCUAAAAUUGUUGUUAAUCUUGUAAUGAGAAUUCACUCUUUAUGUUUAUUGAAACAGAGGUGAAAAGGAAGAGAAUGCAUCACUGCUUUACAUCAUAACUGAAGCGAAUCUGCACGUCCAGUCCACUGAGGAGACAGCUCUGUUUUCCUCAGCAUCGCUGCAGACAUACCAGGAAGUCUAAAAUACUUUGGGAAGUAAAAUUUUGAGCAGUUAUUUUAUAUAUGUCAUAUCCAGUGGUUCACCUUGCUGCCCUGAGGCCACUUCCGUAUGACAGCUAAACUGCUGAGUGCUUAUUUAGCCUAAUACUGGCUGCCACUGCUAAUUCCCUAGCCUGUGGGAUCCACUACUUUGUGUUUCAUAGAGCUGAAAGACCCUAUUUUAGAAAAUAGUGUUUGUAUCGAAAACUGAUGCCAGUGCAUCACCACUCCUUCAGAGAAGGACUUGACGAACUCUCGCUUUUAGUGUUUCAUUGAAUGUUUGGCUCAGUUUCCUUCUGACGAGCAAGGAUUUUUGCAUGGGUGUAGUUUUACUUUCUAAAAUAACAAAUGUCUGUCUGUUCGGUGAUGUGCGUGCAUCAGAAGACAGGGUAAAAUAAACAGGCUGAAGGGCUUUGAUUUGCAGCACGGUUAAGCAGUGCAGGUAGAGCUGUGUUUCUUUUGGAUCAGCUGCUUUGCUUCGCCUUUGCAGUGCACUUCAUAAAUGCUGCAGACGGGUUUUUCAGAGCUUAUAAACUUAGCAGAAAUAAAAAGAACUAAGGGGCCUGACAGCUGAGAGAACUUUAUAAGUGCCACUGAAAGCCAGUAGGUCCCCAGCUCCUGGGGAGUAUAUCAGAGCCCUUGCAGGGUUUAUAAAUUCUGCUUAUUUACUGGCAGGUUUCCAUCCUGGUCAUAAAAGCCAUAGGUCAAAAAGCUCUGUUAGAUGGGGAACACGAAACCCAGCUUUCAUUUAACUCCAGCUUCUUGCACAAGGCUGUGUAGCUCAUCAGUGCAACUGUGGUGUACAGCCCUAAAUGUCACUGGGAGCCCAACUGAGGACAAGUGUCCACAGCUCCUGGCUUUGUGUAGAGCAGAUCCCUGAAGAAGUGAGCUCCCGUUCAGGCUCUAUUUAUAUCAGUCUUUGCUCCUUACAAUAGGGGAAACCCUAAAGGUUUGCUCAGGAGGGGUUUUGUCCCAGUUCAUCUUAACCCACCUCCAGGGCUGCUCCGAGCCCCUGGGGUGUGAAUCGAUCUGCUGUUUCCUUCUCCUUCAUGCACCCAUCUCCAUCUCAGAAAAUCUGGGCUCAUGAAUAGACCAAUUUGUCCACAGGAGCCCAAGCAGCUCCUCCCCUGCUCCACAUCCCUCAGCACUGCUAUGGGCAGGAAGAGGAGGAAUCACCAGAUCACAUCAGGUUCCUUCUAAGUAUCGCAGUCCUGGCUCAGCUCCACCCCAGCUGACAAGCUGCUUUAAUGGAUAGGCAGUGGCCUUCAGUGGAGGGGCUAAAUGUAAAACUUUCCUCUGCUUCUCUUGUCAAAGUUAAAAGCUUUUCAUGCCUGUGUUAAUGUUUCCUUUUUUUUUUUUUCCCUCCUGUCUGCUGGCACCAAUGACAAAUACUACAUCUUGCAUUGAGUAACAGUAUAUUGAAUGGCUGGCAGAGGCAGAAUACGGCACCUGUAAUUUAUCUCCGGGAGUUUGGGUUGGAUGACACUGCUGGGAACAGACCGGGGCUCUGAGCUGUCACCUGAUUACUAAUUCUAGGAUUUCUCCUCCGAGAGUGAGAAGGAGUGAGCUAGGAUGAAGGGUACAAAAAGCAAAUCAAUAAACAGGUUAGUGUUUGCAUCAUUAUUAACACUCGGGCUGUCAACACACCCAUUGAAACUAUCGCUCAGGGCAGCUUCAGAUUUAAUGGUCAGUGUAACAGAUUUACUGUAAAUGUUAGCUAAGGCACAGCGAGGAGUGGGGGGGUCUCAUUGACAAAUAACAGAGAUUUCAGUGGGAUGCAUGAAGCUGUUUAUGUGUGUGCAUAAAUAACGCGGCGAUCGGCGCACGGAGGCGCGUGGCUUUCUGCAGUAUUUCUUCCUGCAGGGCUGUGGCUUGUCCCUGCCCGCUGCCUCCCCUCUGGCAGCCCAACACAGCCACACAUCAAUUGAAUCGCAGGGAGCUUUGAUCCCAGGAACCCAUCACAAACCCCAUAAUAGCCUGGAGGAGGGAGGGGAGGGGAGGGAAGGAAAGGGUGAUGCUGCCAUCUGCAAGCUGAGUCAGCUCAUGGAGUUGGGUUUUGUUGGCUUUUGCUCCUGUCGUCUUCCCUUCUCCAUAGACAAAGUCAUCUUUGCAGAGGUUCCUUAGGAGAGCCCCUGGCAUUUCCCCUUCCCUGACAAUGGGUCAUACCUCUACGGGUAAUGGACAGUGGGUCUUCAUGCUUUCCACAAGUGACAAACAACUGAGCAGCUCCGAGCACUACAAAUGAACAUGUGAUCAAGUGUUUCUGCUUAAAUUACCAAUAAAAUGCUAAAUCUGUGACAGAGUAAAUUGGCUGAAGAUGAAUCCCCCUGACUCCUGUCUGUGCUGCUGCUUUUUCAAAUGAAAACCCUCAUAAAGAAAUUAAGCUGGUUGAAAGGAAAAGCACCUAAAUUCGCAUAGCUUGCAUGGUGGAGGGUUUCCCAGAUUGCUCCAUCAUCUGGAUCAGACCCUUCUUCAGGAAUACUCUGCUGCUUCUUUUUUGUUUGUUUGUUUUUAAAAGGUUCCCACAGGCACACUUCUGAUGGUGCUUCAAUCUCCCUAAUAACUGUUUCUGCCCAGUGCUGCUGCCAGGAGAAGGGACCCAGAGGCUGAGGGCAGCACACACAUGCUCAGACUUGAGGGCUGCUCGCUGCCCUGUAGGUGUGAGGCUGAUGGCAAAACGCUGCUCACUGCUUUCAUCUUUCCAAACUGCAUCUUCAUCACCUGUCCUCCGGGCAGACAUCUGAUAUAGGCUAAGUCUCCUGGCCCCCAGAAUGAAAGGGUCCAUGCUGGGAUCACCUAAAUCAAUUGGACUUUGCCACAAGAGAAUCACAGAAGCAUAGAAUCAUAAAGGUUGGAAAAGAGCGCUGAGAUCAUCAAGCCCAACUGUCAACUCAUCACCACAAUGCCCACUAAACAGUAUCCCUAGAAUGGACUCAAACAAUGCCAGAUGCUUGGAAGUUCCUAGAUAUGUCCUAAAAAUAACCCAGCAAAGAUCUUUCAGAUGGUUCUUGGAGGAAACUUCCAUUCAGAGCAGCUAAAGAGAGAGCCAGCAUAAACUUGGGACAGCAUUUGAGGCUGUUUCUCAAGGAAGGGGUGAGGUUGGUCACCUAGGAGAUAUCUUUGGAGCAUGAGUAGCGCAGCUGCCUUUCUUUGGUCUGUCCCAGACUUACUUAGUUGCCCUCAGCAUCUCAAGACGUUUUUUCAGCUUAGCUUCCUACUGCAAUGUUGGUAGGUUCUGUAUUUAGUACAACCAAUCUUUAAACAUGCAGUAGAGAAGAGAGAGGUAUCUUUCAGUUCUUAACCUCAUUAAAAGCAAGCCCAAGAUCAUAGGGUCAUAGAAUCCCAGGAUCACAGAAUCAUAGAAUAGCUUGGGUUGGAAGGACGUUAAAGAUCAUCACAGCAGAGCUCCCUGAAUUCUUGUCUGUCAGGCAAGGUCCUGUGAUAAGGCCAAGGAUGAGCCCAUUACCACCAGCAUCUCUGGGCUCUGGGAUGAGCUGUGAAGCAUCUGCAAGGGUUUUCCACAUUUUAUGGUUUCCAUCAUCUGCUGGGACCCUAACCCCUGCCCACGCUCACUAGGAAUGGGCAGGAAUUACUGGUUUUGUGGGCAACAGAAGAUGCAGACAUGGUUGUCUGGUUUUACAGUUUGCAAGUGCAGUUAUUAAAAUACUCCAGCACUUGUUCAGCCUCCAGUAACAUGGUUCUCUGUUCUGUGGUGUUAUGUUGUGAUUGAAACCCACGUCAGGUACUAUAACGCUGCCCCAGCUGCUAGAACCAGUGCAAGAACUCAAGAGUUACCACCUGAGAGCGGUCAGUCAUUGGAACAGGCUGCCCAAGGAGUCACCAUCCCUGGAGGUGUUCAAGGAAUUAGGAGAUGGGGCACCAAGGGACAUGGUUAGGGCGCAUGGUGGUUGGGUUGGGGUUGGACUUGAUUAUUUUCGAGGUCUUUUCCAAUAUUAAUGACUCUAUGCUUCUAUGAUUUUAUUAUUAUAUGAACUCAGAUGAAGAUUCCAGAAGUGCCUGUGGGACAACCUGAGGCUGUGCCACCCACAUAUGCCCCACUGCCACUGCCAAGCUCCCCUCUGCAUAGCAUGUUUGUUUGUGCCAUGGAGAUGUCAGCUCAGCCUCCGGGGUUCUGUGAGACUUUCAACGUUAGAAGCUCAAAAAAAUAGAGAAAAUAAAAUAAAAUAAAAUAAAAUAAAAUAAAAUAAACCACACCUAACAAACAAACAAAGUAGCAGCUGCGAAGCCAGCAUUAACGUGUUUAGGUUUGAUUUUGAUUUUUAAAGGGCUAAUGACAAAGGAAAGCUCUGGCUCUGGAGCCUCUCUGCAGAGUUGAGAUCUAAUGCUUCUAGAAGAGGGCAGCCUCAUGAAUUCAGAGCCGCUUGCUUCCUUUAAUGUGCAUCCUAUUGACUAUGGCAAGAACACCCCCCUGCAAGCAUUAAUUGGAGCAAGCGGCGUCUGACAAUUUUUGUUUAAACUGUAGAAGACUCCUCCCUGGUGGGAGAUGUUCAGCAAUCAAAGAGAAGACAAAAAACAACAAAACCUGCACAUGGGCUGGUUGUGCUGCGGAUAACCCAGUGGAGAGCAGCCCUGGAGCUGUGGGUGUAUUUGGACAAGGUGACCUCGCACCGAGCACAUUAGUUGUAUUAUCAGCCUAUAAACUGUCUCGCUGCUUUACGUACCCGUAUGGCCCACAUACUGAAAGAGAAGAUUAGCUUGAUUAUCAAUGGGGGAAUGAGCCAAACAAUUACUUUCAUUAUUGAAUAUCCAAUUAAUUAUUCAAGAGGCCAAUCAAUUAUUCAUAUCUCAUUUAAACUGGGCGGGGGGAGAAGUGUUGCCACUUGGCAGAGAUGUUCACAGCCUCUUCAGAUACAGCAUCAAUUCUGCUGCAACGGGGUGGAAUGAUGGUGGGAGCAAAAGCCAGGCACCCAGAUGAUUUUCCCAGUGGAUGUCCAUUAUUAUUGCCUUGCAGCACCAUCCAGAGUCCCUUCCAGCUCAGCACAAGGUUGGAAAAGACCUCUAAGAUCCCC
ensembl:lncRNA